rnacentral:lncRNA from 1 species
AUUUAGAAUUUUUUUAGGAUUUGAUUUAAGAUUUAUAAUUUUUUUAGAAUUUGUUUUCGGAUUUAGGGUUUGAAUUAAGAUUUAGGAUUUAGGAUUUAUGUAGGGUUUGAUUUAGGACUUAGGAUUUGUCUAGAAUUUGGUUUAGGUUUAGAAUUUGUCUAGGGUUUGGUUUAGAGUUUAAGAUUUGUUUAGGAUUUGAUUUAAGAUUUUAGAUUUGUUUAAGAUUUUGUUUAGGAUUUAAAGUUUGAUGUAAGGUUUAGGAUUUAUUUAGGAUUUGAUUUAGGAUUUAGAAUUUAUUUAGGAUUUGAUUUAAAAUUUAGGAUUUUUCUAAGAUUUGGUUUAGGAUUUAGAAUUUGUCUAGUAUUUGAUUUAGAAUUUAUGUUUUAUCUAGGAUUUAAUCUAAGAUUUGAUCUAGAAUUUAGAAUUUAUUUAGGAUUUAGAUUAGGAUUUAGGAUUUGUCUAAGGUUUUAUUGAAGUCUAUUAGGAUUUUAAUGAGGAUUGAAUUAGAACUUGGUUGAGAUUUGUUUUAGAUAUAUUUUUAAUUAUUUUAACAUUUUUUAUAAUU